GGAGGAGUGGGGGUGGCUGCAGCAGCACACAGCACCCCCAGGUGUCAGCACAGACAGGGACGAUGACUCUGUGAACGACAGCUCUGGGUUGGAGGAGUUUGUGCACUCACUGAGAUCCGCCAUCACUAACCUGCUGACGCGACUCAACAUCCCCCUCUACAGGGCCUAUCAGUACCGGGUGUACACACAGGAGCUGCUUCAGUUUGGGGACCAGCUCUCUGUGCUGCUUCUGCUGCCUCCCAGUGAGGAGUUCAGUGCCAGUUACUGGCCACUAGAGGGCGCCCAAGACGCUGGGAUUACCAUGCCUUUGCAGAUCUUUGAGCUGGGUAAACUCAUCAGAACAGUAGCUCUGUAUACACAGGGUCUAGCUUAUGGUCCAUUGGAAGACAACCAGAAUCACAUAUUGUAUAUAUUUUUCACCUAUAUGAACUAAAAACAUUAGAAUUACUAAUAACUUGCAGGGUGUACUCAAGCACAUUCCUGCUUUGGCUGCUCAUCUGGUCAGUGACAGCACUGCAGCCCAUUACACAUGCUGUUCCGGUCAAACUAAAGGGAAUCAGACUUUUCCCUACAUUUGACACUUUUAAAGUCAAGUUCAGUUUGAGUUCCAGUGAACAUGUACACAUUAUGCGUAAGGUAGAUUUCACAUAAAUUGAGCUUAUUUGACUGUUUCUGUUAUGCAAAGUAACACACUUAACAUUUAACACUUAACACUCACAUUUAACAUAUGGGCCCCUCAGACAUUACUAACAGGACUAAUCAUGUUUCCCAGUGCACUUCUGGGCGUAUGCACGAGGCUUCCUGUCUCAGUACUGUCAGGCCUGGCUGAGGCUAGAGCUGGAUGCCUACCUGUCCCAGCAGGCUUUGCGGGAAGCGCUGGACAGCAAAGAGGUCAUGGAGGCCAGGGAGCGAGUUGGCCACAUCACCCAGCUCUCAAAGAGCCUGGAGGUAGUGUGGCGUGAAGCGAGAUGGAUCAUGGAUGUAAUGCAAUGUGUUCGAGCCAAGCGUGGCACCAGUCCAGGGGCAGUGCCUCUGGGGUUGGUCAUGGGUGGGCAGCCUCCACCAUCCUCCCUGGAUGCCAGUGGAGAAGGGGAGAGAGGGGAUGUUACCAUGUUACUGCUGGGGGCAGUCUUGCCUCCUCACAUGCUCAAUCCACAAGCAGCCACAGAGGGUAUGAACAGUUCCUUGGAUCCAGUCAGCCAUGAUAUCACUAUGUCAGGAGAAAUCCUGUCAGACUUGGAGAACGUCCUGCCCUCUCCUGAGGCAUAUGAACUGGGAGUCCCUACUGAAGAGGUCCAGUCCUUCCCAGAGUACCUAAGCCUGCCUCAGCCAGAGUACCUUGGCAUGCCUCAGCCAGAGUACCUUGGCAUGCCUCAGACAGAGUACCUUGGCAUGCCUCAGCCAGAGUACCUUGGCAUGCCUCAGCCAGAGUACCUUGGCAUGCCUCAGCCAGAGUACCUUGGCAUGCCUCAGACAGAGUACCUUGGCAUGCCUCAGACAGAGUACCUUGGCAUGCCUCAGCCAGACAUAUUCUGUGGGGUGAUUAGUGCUCCGCUCCUGCCUCCCAUCCCCGAGGAGACGCACACAGUGCCCUGCCUCCAGGAGCCUGACCUUCUUCAUCCGUGUUCUCUGCAUGAAGAGGGCGUUGGAGGGAAGGAGGCUGUGGUGGCGGGAGACAUGCUGCACAUGUUGGACAAGCUAGACCUGUGUGGCGAGACGCUGUUAGGCUUCGGCGGGCUGGACCCUCCAGUGGGUCCUGAUGACUUCUGUGUGCUGGGGGCAGAGUGCACAGCCAGCCUCCUCAGCAGCUGCGGUCCAGCCGCCGCAGACAUCAGUUUGGAACAUAAUCAACCUUUAUUUGAUCAGGCAACUCCCUUGGGUUUUUCUGAUGAGCUCUGUGAAUUCCAUGAAGGUACCAAGCUCUGGGCUAUAGAGGGACCCUCGAUGGGUUUCCUCCCACCCUCCCUCUCACCGUCCUCCUCCUGCUGCGGGCAGACUGUAAAUCAGAGCCCUGGGCUGAGUGGGGAGAGCAUUAUUACAGAGGCUUCCAGUAGAGGGAAUAUUAUGCCUGUAAGGAGUGUGGUGGCAUGGGUGACCCCUGCUGACCAGCAGUCCUGA
rnacentral:lncRNA from 1 species